AAACAAACACAGAUACACCUUGAUACACACACUUUGAGACACAGAUGCACACUGUGUGUCAAGGUGCGUGUAUCUGUGUGCCAGUGUGUCAGAUACACACACACACACACACACACACACAAAUUGACACAUAUACACACACCGCCACAUACAAACAGAUACAUACUUUGACACACACCGCAAAAUUUUAAAAAAGGCGCAAUUUACAAAAAAACAUUUUUACCGG